GAUGAACGCUGGCGGCGUGCCUAAUACAUGCAAGUCGAGCGAACAGACGAGGAGCUUGCUCCUCUGACGUUAGCGGCGGACGGGUGAGUAACACGUGGAUAACCUACCUAUAAGACUGGGAUAACUUCGGGAGUCCGGAGCUAAUACCGGAUAAUAUAUUGAACCGCAUGGUUCAAUAGUGAAAGACGGUUUUGCUGUCACUUAUAGAUGGAUCCGCGCCGCAUUAGCUAGUUGGUAAGGUAACGGCUUACCAAGGCAACGAUGCGUAGCCGACCUGAGAGGGGGAUCGGCCACACGGGAACUGAGACACGGUCCAGACUCCUACGGGAGGCAGCAGUAGGGAAUCUUCCGCAAUGGGCGAAAGCCUGACGGAGCAACGCCGCGUGAGUGAUGAAGGUCUUCGGAUCGUAAAACUCUGUUAUUAGGGAAGAACAAAUGUGUAAGUAACUAUGCACGUCUUGACGGUACCUAAUCAGAAAGCCACGGCUAACUACGUG
rnacentral:rRNA from 1 species